CAGAUAUAUGUUGAAUCUACUGUCUGUGAACCUUCUGCUAGUCCUCUAUCACAUUCAUGGGACUUAAGGCACCAUAGUAACAAGAAAUUACCCCAAGUGGCAGUGGGAGUGUCCUGACUCUUCUGCCUGACUUUAGAACACGUUUCUUCUGACUGGUUUGGUACACCUAGCCAUCAUAUGAAGGCCAGUGCAUUCAGUCAUGAAGAACAGAAGUUUCAGCCAAUAAACUUGCCUUUUGCCAGUUACUCAACUCACUAUGGUAUCCAUGAAAAAGAUAAAUGUAGUAGGAAGAUCUUCAAAGCCCCUCCUCCAAAUACAUACUCUGUGGCUCACUAUGUCUGUAACUUUCCUUGGAAGGUACUGUCUGAAAAGUAUGAAUGUGGAGAAUCUGCAGUUUCUUAUUUAAGUACUUCAAUCUUAUGCAAUAUUUACUCAAGCAUGUCCAUCUGUCAUUCAUGUAAAAAAUGCAGAUUAUCAGUUAACUCUGAACUGGAAAAUACUCGUGUGAGAUAUUUAAGUUCAUGCUCUUGAAGCUACACAGAAAUCAAGGAGCAUCAUUUAUCAUCUCAUCUCAUGUUUGCAGAGGUUUCUGUGAGACUGAUACUGUUUUAUGGGUGAGAUUUGCAACAUGGCAUCUCGCAAGGCUUUCAAAUGGUAGAGUCAAUUUUCUAUAGCAUGAGGAGACUAAUUUUCUGGUCUUCUCUAAGAAGGACCAUCAAUAUACUACAGUAUUGGUUGGUUUUAGUGUUCAUUUGUUUGAUUUUCAUUCCUCAAGCAGAGAAUGAAAAAGUGACGCAAACAAUAAAUAUGUUAUUACCACAA